CGGUCCAGACUCCUACGGGAGGCAGCAGUGGGGAAUAUUGCACAAUGGGCGCAAGCCUGAUGCAGCCAUGCCGCGUGUGUGAAGAAGGCCUUCGGGUUGUAAAGCACUUUCAGCGGGGAGGAAGGCGAUAAGGUUAAUAACCUUGGCGAUUGACGUUACCCGCAGAAGAAGCACCGGCUAACUCCGUGCCAGCAGCCGCGGUAAUACGGAGGGUGCAAGCGUUAAUCGGAAUUACUGGGCGUAAAGCGCACGCAGGCGGUCUGUCAAGUCGGAUGUGAAAUCCCCGGGCUCAACCUGGGAACUGCAUUCGAAACUGGCAGGCUAGAGUCUUGUAGAGGGGGGUAGAAUUCCAGGUGUAGCGGUGAAAUGCGUAGAGAUCUGGAGGAAUACCGGUGGCGAAGGCGGCCCCCUGGACAAA
rnacentral:rRNA from 1 species